rnacentral:lncRNA from 1 species
AUCUACUUAAUCACCAUGAACUGGAAACUGUGUGAUUUUACUAGGAGGGCUAUAGGACUUUUGACAUAUUUUUGACAGAACACCUGAGUUUGCUUUCAUUUCUUUUUCAUCUAAUUUGUCUGUAUGGACAUGUUCUCUUUUGCUUGGAUACCACAAAUUUAAUUGGUUACUGAGAUUUUGGGACUGGGUCAACAAAUGAAAGGUGCAUUUCAAGUUUUGCUUCUGUGAUGUUUCCACUUUUAUUUUCAGUUAUUUCACCUGUUUUGCUAACUUAUUGUCUGAAAGUCUGACUAGGCUCAUUAUACAUAUUUCUAUGAAAAUGAAACUGUAUGGUAGUUGGUUGCAGACUAAUUGUUGAUUGUAAAAUCCAGGUAACAAAGUUGCUGGAAGAACCCCAUUGGACUAGGAGACCAGGGUGAAGAUAGCUCUGGGCACUGCACGCGGAAUGGCUUACCUUCACUCCGUGGGUAGCGGCGGGAAGUUCAUUCACGGGAACAUGAAGUCAAGCAACAUCCUUCUCUCAUAGGAACUCGGCGCCUACGUCACCGAGUUCGGCCUUGCCCAGCUCAUGUCCACGCCCCACGUCCACCCACUGCAAGAGGAAUGGCUUACCUUCACUCCGUGUGUCUCAAGUAUGAACGCUUAUGCUUUUCUGGAUCAAUUGAAAUGUCUUUCAUCUUCUAUGACUAUGCAUGUGUUUUUCAAGCAAUACUUGGUACUCGAGCAUCAGAGAUCAUAAAGCUUGUUCCUUUUUGUCUCCAUUUAUCAGUCGAGGGGGAGUCACCAACGAACGACCCACAAUUGGUAAGCCUCGUUAUUCGACUGGAUUUUUUAUUUCACCUUUAGAGAAUACUUCUCAUUACCUAACUGCUUUGUUCUCUUGCCAUUUCUGAUUCUGCUGUUAUGAUACUGAUGGAAUCCUCAUUCGCCGCUGCUAAGGAGUUUGAGCAGGACUAGAGAGGAGACGUCAGUUCUUCCUCCUCCGCUCAGUGCGACCAUUCUCCCUGUCCCUCAACUCUGAACUCUUAGAACAAUGAUGAUCACUGCCACUCCCCGC